rnacentral:rRNA from 1 species
CCUACGGGAGGCAGCAGUAAGGAAUAUUGGUCAAUGGGCGCAAGCCUGAACCAGCCAUGCCGCGUGCAGGAAGACGGCCCUAUGGGUUGUAAACUGCUUUUGAACAAGAGAAAACCUCGGUACGUGUACCGAGCUGAUAGUAUUGUUAGAAUAAGCAUCGGCUAACUUCGUGCCAGCAGCCGCGGUAAGACGAAGGAUGCAAGCGUUAUCCGGAUUCAUUGGGUUUAAAGGGUGCGUAGGCGGCCUGAUAAGUCAGUGGUGAAAUCUCUCAGCUUAACUGAGAAACUGCCAUUGAUACUGUCGGGCUUGAGUACAGAUGAUGUGGGCGGAAUAUGACAUGUAGUGGUGAAAUACUUAGAUAUGUCAUAGAACACCGAUUGCGAAGGCAGCUCACAAAACUGUAACUGACGCUGAGGCACGAAAGUGCGGGGAUCAAACAGGAUUAGAUACCCUGGUAGUCCGCACCGUAAACGAUGAUUACUCGUUGUUGGCAAUAUGACCGUCAGCGACCAAAGCGAAAGCGAAUAAGUAAUUCCACCUGGGGAGUUACGCCGGCAACGGUUGAAACUUCAAAGGAAUUGACGGCNGAGAGNGCGAGGACGACACGAGGAGAG